rnacentral:lncRNA from 1 species
AGCAACAGGACUUUGUGAAGUUCUAUGACACUGUCAUUACAUACAUUGACAAGUGGUUUGAUUUCUCACAAGAAAAUGUACUGGUGAAACUGAAACCGAUCAGCCUCUAUGAGGAGCUCUCCUUCACUGACCUGGAGCAGGUGGUGGUUGCCCUCAAAAUGACAGAGACAGUCAGUAUGGACCAACUCUAUGAAGAGUUUUGUGCUAGCUGGGAGGAAAUACAGAAAGCCAGACAGGAUACCACAAAAUCUACCAGUGAGAAGUGGGUGGCAGUUUUCCAAAACCUAGGGAAAGCCAGCUUGAUCAACAUGUUCAGGAUUGUCUCAUUUGUCCCCAGUGUGCCAGGCUCAAAUGUCUUUGUGUAGAGGAUUUUUCUCUAUGAUGACCAUUAAAUGGUCAGACUCAAGAAACAGAUGCAGCACAGAGGCUCUGUGACAGAGCUGAUCAAAAAUGAACUUCAAAUAUCUGUGAACUGUAACUUGUUGUGUAAGGACUUCUCUCUGGCUAUGCAAAAAGACAAAGGACUGCUUGAAUCAGUCAAGAGCAGCAAAAAAUAUCCAUGGAAAAAGUAGACUUGGUUCCUGAAUGCACCUGUCUGGUUGCCAGGCAACGAGGUUAGGCGGGAGAUCUAUUUAUUACCCGCACCGGCAUCUCAUCAACCUUCUGCACACCUGGUCCUGAUCUUCACCUCUUCUUAAACCCUGAGCUGACAUCCAUUCCCUGCCGGAUCGUUAGCAACGAAGAUCAUCCUCCUGGAACAUUCAACUCCCUUGCCUGGUCGUCGGUGGAUACAGUGACUUCAUUGGAUCAACCCAUUUACUCUCAUCAACUCACCUCCGCUGCCGCUCCGUCUCCUGGAUCAUUCAAAUUACACAUCAAGACUACCAAUAAAUACUCAC